AUCUCCCCCCUGCUGCGACCUCACCCAUCACCCAGAGCCAGUCCCCCUCGCCCCCCGCGCAACCUUCCCCAACCAUGCACCUCAGCAGGCCGUAGUCCACACGGUAAGCCUCUCUCUCUCUCUCUGUUCUCCCUUCGUCUUCUCUCUCUUUUCUCCCAUCAUUUUCUCUGUCUCUGAGUUGACUUCUAUGUAAUUUGAUAGUGGAAAUGGAAAAUAGAAAAUGUGAAUUUGUGUAAUUUGUGAUGAUAUGAUUGUGUAAAAUUUGUGUAAUUUUGUGAUGAUAUGGUUGUGUAAAAUCUGUGUAAUUUUGUGUUGAUGAGUUUGUGUAAAAUAUGUGUAACUAAAAUAGGAUGGAUGUUGCAGUUGAUGAGUUUGUGUAAAAUCUGUGUAGGAUCACCUCUUGAGUUUGCUUGAGAGACAUGGAAGUUAUGAAUUGGAAGGCUGAUAAUGGUAAUAGUAGUAGGGGGUGAUGUUGUAGAAGUGAGUAUGUAAUUAAGAUAGAGAGGGCUGAUAAUGCUAAAAGUUUUAUUUCCCACAUAUUUCGGUGUGUGUAGUGAGUUGGGAUGGUCCCAUAUAUGUGUGAUAAAUGUGCGACUUACUUAAGGUAACACUGUUAGAUUUGUAACAUGUCAUGUUAUAUAGACAAAGAGUCAAAUUAAUGUUUAUUAAUUACAUGGUUGUUUACAUGUGUGAUCAUGACCAAUCACAAGGGAAGCUUGUAAUUAAUUAAUUAUUAUAUUUUAUGGUACUCUGCCUGCAAGGCUAAAUGCCCCUAAUAUAGAAACCACCCCCAACAUGAUAUUCUUCUCAUUCAAGAUCAGUUCAAUGAGGCCGGGACUGUGUGUGUGUGUGUUUUUAAGAUAUGUAGAAUAUAUAUAUAUAUAUAUAUAUAUAUAUAUAUAUGCUAAUAUCAUAAUUAAUGCAGCAAACAAGAAAUGAUAUGAAGUGAACUAGUUGGCUUGAUCAUGAAGAUGCCUCUGUCACUGACAAAAGCCCCAUGAUGUCAAUUUCAUAAAGCUACAAAUUAAGUCAUGCCCCAUGCCUACACAUGAAUCCAAAACACUGCUCAUGGAAACAAUACUUUCAUCUAUCUAGUCAUGUUUACUCGUAAACAUCUGGUUGCUUUGUUUAUAGCUUUAUAUUUGUCUGUUAAGUCAUGGCAAGUUGAAUAUCCAGCUAGCCUAUUGAUGAAACAACUUUAUGGGGCUGAGACUUAGAUCGAUCUCUUCUAACUUUCUACUCGAAUUUGAUCAUCCAAUUAAUUCAAGAAAGACAUAAUAUUAAAUGUCCAGGUGUAACUUACACGGUCUAGCUACAAGCGGCCUAAUUAGCUUGCACAUUUGGAACAACAUAAAAUGUUACAAAUUAAGUCCACUAAUUAAUGUGUAUAUAUGUUGGAUCAUUCAAUUCGAAUAGAGAAUUGCUUGAAAAUAUCUCUCUCCUAUUUUAUAUGCAGGUAUCAAAUGCAAAUAAAAUAAAUGGAAACAUAGGUAGCAGCUAGCUAUAUAUUAAAUUGCAGUAGACGAUUAAGAAAGGAGACUACAUAAAUAUUCCACCCUUAAUAGAAUAGGGGUGGUACUUUUCUUUUUCUAAGAAUAGGGGUAGUGCUUUGGUUUUUAUUAGUCCUUUAUUUAAAGAAUAUUUGGAUAAAUAAUAAGUAGGAAAAGAACUUAAUGAAAUGAAGAUAUUUUUUAUGUGAUGACACAUGCAUCAGAGUAGGUUCUUAAAAUCAUGUUUUCUAUUUUAGUAUAAUACUUAACAUAGACAGCCAGAGAAGUUGCUCUUGUCACACUUGAAAAUGACUAGUUCAACAAUAUUAAUGUGGUAUUUGAUGGCUUCCCUGUGAAAUGUGGUAUUUGUUCUACUUGAAGAGAUUAUGAUGCUAGCCAUUAACGCUAGACAACAUCUAAUAGAUUAGAUGUUGUCCUUAAUAUUCAUCAAAAAAAGAUUAUAUGUUUUCAAUUGAAAGUGAUAAUAGAGUCUUUUGCACUUCCAACCUAGCCUAGACCUGUUGGUUUUAUAGGAGGAUUGUUAUGGCAUCGUGACAUUGAAAAUUUCCAAGAUGACCCUAUCAACAAGUUAUACAUGAGACCUUCUAAUCAAAUGCUUUAGAAGAAGUUGUAUUACAAUCCACAGGGGUACCCUAUAUGUUUAAUGAGAUUGGCUAGUCACAUUGACCACAAACGAGAUAUCAAGUCUUGUAAUAGACAACUAUGUUGACUUUUCUGCACAUCUCUAUACUUUCUUGGAAGCUCUCCUUGACCAACUAUACAUGAUUGAGAUUUGGAUCCAUUAGAGUGCCAACUUGGUUUGAAUCAUAAUAAACCUGUAUAUUCCAAUGCCAACGUGUAUACUUCUUUUGAGUGAGGCUAGUCCCACUAGCAGCCUGAGCCAUCUCUAUGCCAAUAGAAUAUCUAAGCUUCUCUAUGUCUUCAUUACAAAAUUAGAUUUACAUAAAAUGCUUUAAUUCUUCAGUUCUCUUAGUAUCUUUGUCUUCUGGAAUGAUAUUAUCAACAUUUACUACCAAUGUGAGAAUAGAAUGUAGCCAGUGAAUGGAAGUCUGAAUGAUUUGUUUGACCUCGUGAUAUACCAAAUUCUAGUGCUAUCUCUUCAAAUUUCCCAAACCACGUUCUAGGCAACGGCAUCAAACCAUAAUUUAAAUCUUUAAUUCACCUUACCUAACUCCUUCCCAUCCAAACCACACCUAGGUCUUGCAUUAGAACUGUCCAGCUUCAUUAAUGAGCACCUAUAUUUUUAUGUUGCCCUUAAUAUUCAUCAUUCACUGUGUCCUUUAUGGAACUACCAACAAAUACUGGUGUGGCAGUGUACUUUCAAAUCCCACAGUUUGUCCAACAACAUCAACUUCCAAUGCAGAUUAAACAACAUGUGCUAGCUUCUAGGUGUCCUCCUCAUCUCAUGCUGUUUUCUAAAGCAUGAGACGAGUACAUUCUGAAAUUCUGAAUUAUAAACUAUGAGCAAUACUUGACAUUUGAUAGAAAUAAGGUAUUGCGGAUGUCUGGGGAUAGUAGGAAGGGCAUUUAUCCAACUUAGAUUUAUGUUAGAAGACCAGUAGGAGGUGGCUUGCCCUCGAUCCAUUCCAAAGUAAGGGGUGAGUGUCUUGAUACCACUUCCUAAUUCUUAUAAACUCCAUUUCAAUGCCAAGUGGCCCACUUUAUUAUUUUGAUGGCUUAUAAAAGUAGUUCGUCAUCAACCAUUGUAUUCAGUAGUCGAGUGAGUUGGAUAGUGAAAGUACAUGUGAAAAUGAGGCAUGCAAGCUGGAGUGUGGUAGAUGACAAGGAGAAGCACGAGCUCAUCAAUCGUGUUAGGGUAGGGGUUAGAAAUAUAUUCAUGAAUCUUGUAAUUUAUGAAGUGGUAAGAUAUGAUUUUUAGAGUGACAACAACUAUGUGAUAUGAUACAAUGCUUUUCAGGCAGACUUUGUGUUGGAUUGGACAAAAGAGAACCAUCAUGAAGAUGUGGUAAAUGCACUCGCUAAUAAGUACAAUACAUACAACUAUGAACUAUAUAAGCACUACCUAAAAUAUGCAUCACAUGAGGAGAUACUAGCUGGUUGGAAAGGGUUGGCGGAGCCACAUGUUUGGGAGUGGCUAUGUGAAAGGUGGGCCAGUGGCACAUUCAAGAAUCUUAUGGUAGAGAGGUUGAAUGAGAAAGACUCAGAAGAGAAUGUUGAUGAAGUUGCUACCUUUGUUUUCAAAGAGGUCCUUGGAACGACUAUGCACAAGGGCUGGGUCACUCAGUCAUUCCUGAGCCCUCCCCUUCAUUGCAAAAGAACAAGGCAUUUAUAUGUAUGACCGAGGAGAAUGAAAGGAACAAGAAAUGUGCAGACAUUUACAAGACUCAAUUAGAGUCGCUUUUGGGUGAUGUGGCUGCUUUGCGAAAACAGUUUUCUGAGCAUGACAAAUAAUUGAACAUGAUAUCAUCAUAGUUGGAGUCAAGUAGGGAGUCUCAACAAGAGAUCAAGGAGAUGCUUAGCAUCUCUUGUUGGUGGCAAGUUUUUUGGAGUGUUGGAGAUUUUUGUAUUUUGUGUUCCCCCUAUGGACAUGGCAGUGUGUUAAAUGCCAACGUUCUGAUGGGUAGUGUGGGCCGGUUUGGGGUAUUUUGAUAGAGAGGGUGGCAGGUGGUUAUAUCAGUAUAUUUUGUGUUGGGAAUAUAUAACGCACUAUCUUCAUGUUAGUACCUACAAAGGUUGUGUGAUGGUAUGCAUCAGGUAAUGGUUAAAAAAGAGUCAAUGAGUAUCUUCAAGGACAAUGAUGGCUUAUAGGGCUCUUCACCUGAGUCUUCUGAGAUUGUCUUAUAAUCUAUUUUUGCUGGGGUACAUUUUAAGCAUUAAGGUAGCUGCAUUCACAAGGGUUCUAGCAUACUCCAGUUCUGUAAAAUGGCAACCACCAACAGAAUACACCAAAUAUUACUGGAUAAGAGCAAAAGAUCCAGUGAUGGCUACUGCUGUUGAGGCAAAUGUUUGUGCUAUCUUUUGAGGUCCUUAUCAGCCAUCUGAAAUGUGUGGAUGUAGAGGCUAUUGUAGGAAUUGUUCAUCUGGGCAGAUCAGGUUAAGAUGCCUAAUACAGUUCAUGUGAAUGAAGCUAUCAGGAGAUCAUGCCAUUUGGAGCCAAGUUGUAUGAGUAUAUGUAGAACAAACAUUGUUAUAUGGGUUAUAAAAUAGUAUGCAUAAUCAUGCUGACGGCCCUCUUGGCCUUCCCAAUCAGUAAACAUUAAUGUAUUGCCAUUCUCUUCAAUGAACAGUGGAACAUGCGAGAUUGAUGCACGUAAAUAUUGAUAUAUAAAUGAUGUUAUAUGGC